CCUACGGGAGGCUGCAGUAGGGAAUCUUCCACAAUGGACGAAAGUCUGAUGGAGCAACGCCGCGUGAGUGAAGAAGGGUUUCGGCUCGUAAAGCUCUGUUGGUAGUGAAGAAAGAUAGAGGUAGUAACUGGCCUUUAUUUGACGGUAAUUACUUAGAAAGUCACGGCUAACUACGUGCCAGCAGCCGCGGUAAUACGUAGGGGGCAAGCGUUGUCCGGAUUUAUUGGGCGUAAAGCGAGUGCAGGCGGUUCAAUAAGUCUGAUGUGAACGCCUUCGGCUCAACCGGAGAAUUGCAUCAGAAACUGUUGAACUGGAGUGCAGAAGAGGAGAGUGGAACUCCAUGUGUAGCGGUGGAAUGCGUAGAUAUAUGGAAGAACACCAGUGGCGAAGGCGGCUCUCUGGUCUGCAACUGACGCUGAGGCUCGAAAGCAUGGGUAGCGAACAGGAUUAGAUACCCCGGUAGUC
rnacentral:rRNA from 1 species